CAAUAGCGUAUAUUAAAGUUGUUGCAGUUAGAACGCUCGUAGUCGGAUUUCGGGGCGGGUCGACCGGUCUGCCGAUGGGUACGCACUGGCCGACGCGUCCUUUUUGCCGGAGACCGUCCCUACUCUUAACUGAGCGGGGUCGGGAGACGGCACUUUUACUUUGAAAAAAUCAGAGUGUUUCAAGCAGGCAGCUCGCUCUUGCAUGGAUUAGCAUGGGAUAAUGAAAUAGGACUUUGGUGCUAUUUUGUUGGUUUCGAACACCGAAGUAAUGAUGAGAAGGGACAGUCAGGGGCACUCGUAUUCCGCCGAGAGAGGUGAAAUUCUCAGACCAGCGGAAGACGAACCACUGCGAAAGCAUUUGCCAAGGAUGUUUUCAUUAA
rnacentral:rRNA from 1 species